rnacentral:tRNA from 1 species
AAAUUACCAAGUGAUUCGAACACUUUUCUAAUGUUUUCAAAACAUUAUGCUCCCGAGAGGGUAAUU